rnacentral:lncRNA from 1 species
GUUACAAGAGCACGAGCCAAGAAGUUCAAGGAGAGCUUGAUGAGCUUAGUUCAAGAAGUGUGGGCUCAAGAGUUGAUGAAGAGACCUAUUGGAGAUGGUGGAGUCGGCCCAAGUCUAAUUAAUCUCAUUACAUGCGAGUGGGCCGAAGCUUGAAGAUUUGAUUUAUUUUGAAGACUUCAUUUAUUUAUUUCAGCUUUGUUAUUUUCGCAGCCCAUGAGUUUAAAGGGCCUUGUUAUUUUCGGAUUUUAGUAGUAAGGGCCUUGUUUGGCUUAUUAGGGCUUGUUUUUAAGUUGUUUCCAUAUUAGACUAGGUUUAGUUUUGCCUAUAUAUAUGGCUGCUACAUGUUGGACGAAAAUUAGCCUACUUUUAUCAAUAAACUUGUGAGUUUUAUUUCUCUCUUGAGAAUUCCGAAUUCCUCUUGAUUAUUCCAAGACGAAUUCAAUUAUCGACGUAACGGCGAGUCAACCAACCCUCGUCGGGUGUCAUUCAGCGUCCCCGA